rnacentral:rRNA from 1 species
AUUGAACGCUAGCGGGAUGCUUUACACAUGCAAGUCGAACGGAGUGGCGGACGGGUGAGUAAUAUCUCGGAACGUGCCCGGUAGCGGGGGAUAACUACUCGAAAGCGUGGCUAAUACCGCAUACUAUUAGAGCGGCCGAUAUCGGAUUAGCUAGUUGGUGGGGUAACGGCUCACAAAGGCAACGAUCCGUAGCUGGUUUGAGAGGACGACCAGCCAAACUGGAACUGAGACACGGCCCAGACUCCUACGGGAGGCAGCAGGGGGGAAUUUUGGACAAUGGGGGAAACCCUGAUGCAGCCAUCCCGCGUGUAUGAUGAAGGCCUUCGGGUUGUAAAGUACUUUUGGCAGAGAAGCGGUAUCUGCAGAAUAAGCACCGGCUAACUACGUGCCAGCAGCCGCGGUAAUUC